GUCGUCGGAAAGGAAAUUAAAAUUCAGUCACCUGAAUUUUUAGCAAAUCCCUUGCACGAAACUGCUGCAAGGACAAGCUGGAAGUGCGAAUGGUCGAUAUAAUAAUGGUAAUGGAGCGGCUUAUAUGAGGUGAACGUUGAACUGGAGUAGAGUCUCGACGCCGUCUGUGGUGUGCUCGUCGCCAGGAUGCAGCGUCUGGAUGGCGGCGAAGCCCUUGGCGUUCUCGUACUUGCCGGUGCCUCCGAUGACGGCGAUGUGGGACUCCGGCGCCGCCAUGCGGUGGACCCCGAAGAAGCUGAGCGUGUCGCCGCCAUGCGGUGCCUCGGGGCCCUCGAACAUGGCGGUAAGCACGAUGGUCUUGCUGGUGCCGUCCUGCGAGCUGGCGACGUAGAAGCCCUGCGCCCUACCGACGACCCCCGCGCCGAGCUCGUGCCCCUCGGUGAGCUCGUCGUCGAUGACCGUGGUCGUGCCGAAGAGGAGGUUCUGGAGCGUGGCGCCGGACGGCAGGUCGCCGGCGUUGACGAAGGGGAUGUUCUUGUUGCCUCCGUUGGCGGGGUUGCCGUUGUUCUGGACGACGGCGGAGGACGUGCCGCCGAGGCCCGCGACGUAGGGCGCGUUGUUGCCGUUGAUGAGGCUGCUGGCGCCUUGCGGAAGCGGCACCGCCCCCUGGAUCGGGAAGAUGUUGGUGUUGGGGCGCGCGAACGGGAGCUGCCCGUUGGCUGCCGCGCUCGCCACCACGCCGGUCACGAUGCGCCCCGACGGCUGCGAGCCGCCGAGGAUGUCGUGCAUGAAGAACGUCAGCGGGUGGUCGCUGGCGGCUCCUGCGUUGCCCGUCGCGGCGGCACCCGCACCCGCACCCGCUGGCGCCACGGCUGGGUCUGUCGGGGGAUCCGUCGGGGCGGGCAGGGGGUCAGCCGGCAGGGGAGCCGCAGCCUGUUCGUCGUCGAGGAAACGACCAGCGAAUGCGCAGUUCGCCACAGCAAGAGCGAGCACCAGGCACAGCACCGCCCUGACGGUUUGCACCGCGUUCUUGGCCAUGUCUCGCAAGGCACCAAGGCGCGUAGCGUAGGUGGAGAAGAGCGAGGACUGUGGGGCUUG
rnacentral:misc_RNA from 1 species